AAAUUGAAGAGUUUGAUCAUGGCUCAGAUUGAACGCUGGCGGCAGGCCUAACACAUGCAAGUCGAGCGGUAGCACAGAGAGCUUGCUCUCGGGUGACGAGCGGCGGACGGGUGAGUAAUGUCUGGGAAACUGCCUGAUGGAGGGGGAUAACUACUGGAAACGGUAGCUAAUACCGCAUAACGUCGCAAGACCAAAGUGGGGGACCUUC
rnacentral:rRNA from 2 species